rnacentral:rRNA from 1 species
AUUGAACGCUGGCGGCAUGCCUUACACAUGCAAGUCGAACGGCAGCACGGGAGCAAUCCUGGUGGCGAGUGGCGAACGGGUGAGUAAUAUAUCGGAACGUGCCCAGUCGUGGGGGAUAACGCAGCGAAAGCUGUGCUAAUAUCGCAUACGAUCUACGGAUGAAAGCGGGGGAUCGCAAGACCUUGCGCGAUUGGAGCGGCCGAUAUCAGAUUAGCUAGUUGGUGGGGUAAAAGCCCACCAAGGCGACGAUCUGUAGCUGGUCUGAGAGGACGACCAGCCACACUGGAACUGAGACACGGUCCAGACUCCUACGGGAGGCAGCAGUGGGGAAUUUUGGACAAUGGGCGCAAGCCUGAUCCAGCAAUGCCGCGUGCAGGAUGAAGGCCUUCGGGUUGUAAACUGCUUUUGUACGGAACGAAACGGCGAGCUCUAAUACAGUUUGCUAAUGACGGUACCGUAAGAAUAAGCACCGGCUAACUACGUGCCAGCAGCCGCGGUAA